rnacentral:rRNA from 1 species
UACAGAGGGGGCAAGCGUUAUUCGGAAUUAUUGGGCGUAAAGAGCUCGUAGGCGGUCUGUCACGUCGGCUGUGAAAACCCGAGGCUCAACCUCGGGCCUGCAGUCGAUACGGGCAAACUAGAGUACUGCAGGGGAGACUGGAAUUCCUGGUGUAGCGGUGGAAUGCGCAGAUAUCAGGAGGAACACCGGUGGCGAAGGCGGGUCUCUGGGCAGUAACUGACGCUGAGGCACGAAGGCCAGGGGAGCAAACGGG